rnacentral:rRNA from 1 species
UGAGGAAUAUUGGUCAAUGGGCGAGAGCCUGAACCAGCCAAGUAGCGUGCAGGAUGACGGCCCUAUGGGUUGUAAACUGCUUUUAUAUGGGAAUAAAGUGAGGGACGUGUCCCUUAUUGCAUGUACCAUACGAAUAAGGACCGGCUAAUUCCGUGCCAGCAGCCGCGGUAAUACGGAAGGUCCAGGCGUUAUCCGGAUUUAUUGGGUUUAAAGGGAGCGUAGGCUGUUUGUUAAGCGUGUUGUGAAAUGUAGGAGCUCAACUUUUAGAUUGCAGCGCGAACUGGCAGACUUGAGUGCGCACAACGUAGGCGGAAUUCAUGGUGUAGCGGUGAAAUGCUUAGAUAUCAUGACGAACACCGAUUGCGAAGGCAGCUUACGGGAGCGCAACUGACGCUAAAGCUCGAAGGUGCGGGUAUCGAACAGG